GCUUGUGUUGGUAAACCCUAGUUCACCACUGCCGCAUCUUCUGCCUCCAGUGUCGCUUUAGACGCAUCUAGGGCGCCGCAUCUUCUGCCUCCAGUUGACGAAAGUAGCGUACGGACUCAAUGGGAACUGAAGAAUGCGUGUUAAAUGUUGAUAGCAUGGUGAUUGUUCAUAGGAAUCUAUCACCAUGCCGAAGAUGAAAUCUGCGAAAGUGAUGCAGAACCAUUCCAUCAAAUAAUGGGUCCGUUUUCAGUUAGGCGUUUAUUGGUGACGUGUAAAAGUCUUCGAGUCGCGUAUAUAUAGGAUACGAUGCAGCCUCCUAAUUCCCCUAGAAUCUCGAAAUUGUCGCCGCUCAUACCAGCUGCUCUUUGCCCUUUUCAGCAGACAUUCAUCGGAUCCGAUUCCGCCACCCUCUUCUACGAUGACUCCUUCGCGUGAAGACUAUGAGAUGCUGGUCUCAGAAGGAUCACCUCAACUGAUGGAAGAUGUGGCUGAUAUGAUUUAUGCACAAGAUGUUGAUGAUCUUCCGUCUUCACGGUUCACUUGGGCUAUAAAGAAUUUCUCAACAUUUCAUGGCGAAAAGAUGUCCUCUGACCCCUUUGUUGAUAGAGGAUGUAAAUGGUAUUUUGAUACUAAUUUGUUCCUCCCAUGAUUCUUUGAUUGUGUGAAUGAGAUGGUUACUCCAUUGUUUGAGAAAUCAUUGACUGCUACAGAUACUGGGACGAGUGGGCGCCUUGUGCUGCCAAAAAUCUGCUGAGGUUAGCAUCAGUGGUUUGUUGACGUGGUUUCUGGACUCCCAAGGAUGAAACUCCCGGAGGUUGUGGACCCAACAAUAUUUAGUUUUGCACAGAAAGGAGAGAAGCUAUAUGGGAAUGGAUUUAAACUUCUGAACCUUGUAAUGAUUGAUUAAGAUUUGAAGAUUAGUUUUAACGACAAUUUAGAUAGUUGGUUGUGAUGAUUGAUUAAGAUUUGACGUUUUCCAGAAUUAAACACCAUUUUAUAAUUUUAAGGGUAUCUUGUAAUUGAUUCUUGUAAUAGAUGUAACAUCUAAAUACUUAUUCAAGGGUUUAACAUUUGC